CUACGGGUGGCAGCAGUGGGGAAUAUUGGGCAAUGGGCGCAAGCCUGACCCAGCAACGCCGCGUGAGGGAAGAAGGUUUUCGGAUUGUAAACCUCUGUCCUUGGGGACGAAGAAGUGACGGUACCCAAGGAGGAAGCUCCGGCUAACUACGUGCCAGCAGCCGCGGUAAUACGUGGGAGCAAGCGUUGUCCGGAAUUACUGGGCGUAAAGGGUGCGUAGGCGGCAUAUUAAGUCAGGUGUGAAAUACUCGGGCUCAACCCGGGGGCUGCAUUUGAAACUGAUAUGCUUGAGUGUGAGAGAGGAAAGUGGAAUUCCUAGUGUAGCGGUGGAAUGCGUAGAUAUUAGGAGGAACACCAGUGGCGAAGGCGACUUUCUGGCUCAUAACUGACGCUGAGGCACGAAAGCGUGGGGAGCAAACAGGAUUAGAUACCCCAGUAGUC
rnacentral:rRNA from 1 species